rnacentral:lncRNA from 1 species
AUUAAUAAUUUAUUAAACAGUAAUAUAAAUCAGCCAUUGCUUAUUGAUUUUAUCUCAUUAUUUUUUUUCUUUUGACAGUUGAGUCCUGCUAUCAUCGGACCAUGUCUUGCGUCCGUGACACCUCUCCGACGGCCAGCUCGAAAAAUGCCGAAGACACGGGGAAACAAGAAUCGAAGAAACGGCGGUUCCACCCGUUGCGGGGCCUGCGUCGGAUUUUCCGGCGGAAGCCGCGGGCCCAGGACCGGGAUCGGGAGCGGGGCCCGGACUCGCCGCACUCGAGUCGCGAGGGCCUCUCCCCCGACGACGCCCACCCCCACCCGGGCACUGACGCCGCCGGCAUCCAGGCCCAGUGCAGCCGCUCCGCCAGCCAACUCAUACAGGACCCUUCUCAGUCCAGGAGGAGCCUUCACUCAACCGUACUAAGUGUUAGCCACGACAGCAUAUUCUCACCCGAAAUCCACCCCGAAUCUCAACUGGGCUCAGUUCAGUCCGUCCAAAAAUUAGGCCACUCCAACAUCAGGGCGGAGCUGUUCGAUGCCGUCAGGCGGAGAAAAGGGCGGGAGGACACGAGCGAAGAGGACCUGGGCCUCCCCCGGAGCCCCCUCAGCAACUCCCUCACCACCACCGAUGCUCUCUCCGAAGCCAACAAGGAUGUGAGAAUAACCAAGUCCCCGCAUAGCACUUGCAGCGACGGCUCUCUACUCAGCAUGGGCUCUUCUGAGAUGGACGACGAUUUUUAUGGUCACAGCUCAAGAAACUCAUCAAAAUUAUCUCUGUAUGAUAGGAAAAGUUUAAAUCAGAUUCAGGUAUGAUUUUAUUUUUUCACAUGUGUUUGGUCAUUUAGGUUUCAGUGAGUACCUAAUCAAGGCUACUGCAUGCCACUCCCGGAGUUCCC